CAUCGCGAGGUGGAAUCUGAAAGAAGCCGGAUGUAGAGGCUGAAAAGUUCCUCUGCGGGCAAAGUUCCGGAUUGACGAACAGAAAUCGCAUAAGCGGCUGACUUGGGACGGACGACUCUGCCAAACAAGAAGAAGUCCAAUACUACCCGAACCUAUUGCAGUAGAUGUGGCGGUUA
rnacentral:ncRNA from 1 species